rnacentral:rRNA from 1 species
GUCAGCUCGUGUCGUGAGAUGUUGGGUUAAGUCCCGCAACGAGCGCAACCCUUGCCACUAGUUGCUACCAUUCAGUUGAGCACUUUAGUGGGACUGCCGGUGACAAACCGGAGGAAGGUGGGGAUGACGUCAAGUCCUCAUGGCCCUUAUGACCAGGGCUUCACACGUCAUACAAUGGUCGGUACAGAGGGUCGCUAACCCGCGAGGGGGUGCCAAUCUCACAAAACCGAUCGUAGUCCGGAUUGCACUCUGCAACUCGAGUGCAUGAAGUCGGAAUCGCUAGUAAUCGCGGAUCAGCAUGUCGCGGUGAAUACGUUCCCGGGCCUUGUACACACCGCCCGUCACACCAUGGGAGUGGGUUUCACCAGAAGUAGGUAGGCUAACCGCAAGGAGGCCGCUUACCACGGUGGGAUUCAUGACUGGGGUGAAGUCGUAACAAGGUAGCCGUAGGGGAACCUGCGGCUGGA